GGUAAAAUGGCUGAGUGAGGCAUUAGACUGUAAAUCUAAAGACAGGGGUGUGAGUCCCCUUUUUACC
rnacentral:tRNA from 1 species